rnacentral:lncRNA from 1 species
AUGAAGUACAUCUGUGUUUGUCUGCAGACAGGCAGCCUUGGUGCGGAUGGACAUGAUGACUUGGCCAAUGUGAACUCUGGCUACUGUGCCUUGGGGCUUUCCAAAAGCACCCCGCAUACCUGUCUGCAGCCUGUCAGAAGAGAGCUGCUCAUAUUCAUCCGACACCAUGUGGCCACACAGUGGAAACUCAUCCACUUUUGCCUUCUUCCGGCCCAGAUCAAAGAUACGGAUCUUGGCAUCAGGGACACCUCGGCAGAAGCGAGACUUAGGGUACGGCUUGUUCUUACAAUACCGGUAACACCGGGCGGGGCGGCGGCCCAUGGCGACACCAGGGUCUUCGGUGGCGUGCCGAAGGAAAAAGAGCAGAAUGGAAUAAAUAUUUACAAACCACAUAUUUGACAAAAGUCUAUCAUCUAGAAUAAAGAACUCAUAAAAUACA